GCCCUUAUACAUGAGCAAAAUCUCAACUUUAUUAGAAGAGACGCAUUUAUUAGAUAAAAAGCCAAUGCAUGCUUUUACAGUAUGAAAAUUGGUGAUUUAUAAUAACUUAGCAAAUCGCAAAGUGACAGGCGAUAAAUCAUUCAAGUUUCUGACCUAUCAGCUUUCGACGGUAUGGUAUUGGCUUACCGUGGCAGUGACGGUUAACGGGGGAUUAGGGUUCGAUUCCGGAGAGGGAGCCUGAGAAACGGCUACCACAUCUAAGGAAGGCAGCAGGCGCGCAAAUUACCCAAUUCUAACAGUUUGAGAGAGGUAGUAACAAGAAAUAACAAUACAAGGCAGUUAAAAUGCUUUGUAAUUGGAAUGAUAGAAAUUUAAACCCUUUUAAAGUAUCAAUUGGAGGGCAAGUCUGGUACCAGCAGCCGCGGUAAUUCCAGCUCCAAUAGCGUAUAUUAAAAUUGUUGCAGUUAAAAAGCUCGUAGUUGAAGUUCUGCUAAAAGUAACCGGUCUGCUUUGAAUAAAAGUGGUAUCUUGGUAUGUAUUUAGCAAUGAUGUCCUUUGAAGUGUUUUUUACUUUAUUGUAAUAAAGCAUAUUCAGGACUUUUACUUUGAGAAAAUUAGAGUGUUUCUAGCAGGCCAACGCUUUGAAUACUGCAGCAUGGAAUAAUAAGA
rnacentral:rRNA from 1 species